rnacentral:rRNA from 1 species
GGAUCAGCACGCCGCGGUGAAUACGUUCCCGGGCCUUGUACACACCGCCCGUCACACCAUGGAAGUCUGCAAUGCCCGAAGCCGGUGGCCUAACCACUUAUGUGGAAGGAGCCGUCUAAGGCAGGGCAGAUGACUGGGGUGAAGUCGUAACAAGGUAGC